AGUGGGAUCAUUGGGCGGUGGGCGGUGUGGAGGAGUCUCCGCUGGUCCGCAGAAACGAACGAAGGCGCGAGAAUCGGGAAGUUCUGCCUCAGUGACCUGUACGCGUCCUAGCCGCAGUGAAUGUUGCUGAACCCCGGUGACCUCACAGUGGAGGGGCGGCCCCAUGGGGCCAUCGGACCGCGCCGCGCGGGGGCGUUCGCCAGGGCCUCCGCAGAAGCCCGCCUGUGCCCGCAACCGCCCCGAAAUUCUCUCCCUGGCACCGUGUCCGCUUUACGGAGCCCGGAGCAAGGCUCAGAAAAAUGUCCCAGCCAAAAACAUGGUACAUGCCUGUCAUCAGGCAAGUCUUCAAAGAGCGGCUGGGACCAGGGGCCGAGGGACCUCGUUUAGAGGCGGCUUAGGGGGAAGGUCAGCAGUUGUGUUUCAGUUGUGUUGGGUUUUCGGCGCCCCACAAUGCGGGCGACGUAUGGGCCACAGGUGUGGAUGCCAGGGACAGGUCGCCCUGCACAUGGCUGAGGCACGGUAGGCUUGUAGUCUACCCCAUAUCAGGCCAUGGUGAUCUCAGGUAUGGGGGCCUGGGAGAGGAGAGUGAGUACAUGGCUGAGUACGUCAGAGCACGGGGUCAGGGACACAUCAGGGGAGGACGCUGGCAGGAGAAUAACCGGGCUCCUGGGUGUCCUCCGCUGAAUUCAGACGCGUUCAUGUUAGAGCAGGUGGGCCUGCGUCCUCCCGGACGAACGGAGUUCUUAGGCAAGGUCCAGAGGAGCUUCUACCUGAAGUGGUGCUGGAGAACUUUGCACUCAGUGCUGGGUGAGACCACUGGCACCAUAACUCUCCCCAGCCUCAACUCUGGUUUUUUUCCUCUGUUCUUUCCAUGUUCCCCUUGGAAGUCGCUGUUGGUCGUGGCACUGAGGCCCAGAUCAUGCCACCUCCUCUAACAAGUGGCUGAGUGGACACCCCACACAUUCUACCCAAGGGCCGUGAGUGGCCAAGAUCGGGGCUCAGAAGUCUCUGAAUCUUCACAGCUGGUCACGUUCAGCUCGGUCACUUCCUGUCUGUGUUUGUCUUGGAGUAAGGAUUAUUCUCGCUUGCUGGGGUCAUGGUGUUUUGGCCUCUCCUGGCCUGGACUCUCAAAAACUCAUCAUCCUUCAUAGGUCUGAAGGCUUCUACAUUCCCACCAGCAGGUGGACCAUAUGAACUCAAAACUAGUUGUGGCAGAGGGACCCUGAAGAGAUCUACCCCUGGUGAAUGCCCCCAGGAGUGGGCUGUUCUCACACCUGGUGCCCAGCCUGUGCCCUCGCAGGUCUUGGUGCCUCCACUCAGCUCAAUUCCAGUUUUCUGGCCAUGCCCCGCUGUGUCCCUUUCUCUCUCCUUAGUGCCUAGCUGUGCAAUGUUUGCCUCUCCUUAACAUGUCCUCAGCUGACCCCAUAUCCUCAGUCCUUGCAACCCUGUUCCUCAGUGACACCUGUGUAUUCUCUCCAGUGGAGACACAGGUGGGACACCCCCAAGCUCAUGGUACAUGCCUGUCAUCAGUACCCCUGGACUGUCAUGGUGGGUCAGUCUGCCCUAGGCUGGACUGACCAACCUGUUCAUUCCCCCACAGGAUUGCCCUUUACAGUUCAUGAGUUCCCCCAACUGGAGUGCAGACAAGAGCACUGAUUGAUGGACCAGGUAGACUUGAAACCAGGAAUAGCACAAAAGUUAUCAAAGAGGCUCAGCCAUGGAGAUUGCAAGCUGGGGAUGGAAGUAUCCCUGGAAUUGAGCUGUUCUCACACCUGGUACCUGAGUUAUACCCCUGGUGUCUGGGUACCAAGGUCACUAGCCUUGCCACUUUUCUAUGUUCCUGAUCCCCUACUAAACAGUCCACCUUUUCGCCUACUUCCCCUGACUCCUGUACCCUGUCCCCUCUUUCUGCCUAGUUUGAAGACACUGGUCAUCCCAUAACAUGUCCUGGGCUAAUACAUAUCCUCAAAUCGUUCUUGAAAAUCUGUUCCUCUUCCCUCCUCCCCCUCCCCCUCCCCCCCCCCCCGCUCUUUCCACGGUCUCCCUCUGAUGCCGAGCCGAAGCUGGACGGUACUGCUGCCAUCUCGGCUCACUGCAACCUCCCUGCCUGAUUCUCUUGCCUCAGCCUGCCGAGUGCCUGCGAUUGCAGGCGCGUGCCGCCACGCCUGACUGGUUUUCGUAUUUUUUUUGGUGGAGACGGGGUUUCGCUGUGUUGGCCGGGCUGGUCUCCAGCUCCUAACCACGAGUGAUCCGCCAGCCUCGGCCUCCCGAGGUGCCGGGAUUGCAGACGGAGUCUCGUUCAUUCAGUGCUCAAUGGUGUCCAGGCUGGAGUGCAGUGGCGUGAUCUCGGCUCGCUACAACCUCCACCUCCCAGCAACCCGCCUUGGCCUCCCAAAGUGCCGAGAUUGCAGCCUCUGCCCGGCGGCCACCCCGUCUGGGAAGUGAGGAGCGUCUCCGCCUGGCCGCCCAUCAUCUGGGAUGUGAGGAGCCCCUCUGCCUGGCUGCCCAGUCUGGAAAGUGAGGAGCGUCUCUGCCCGGCCGCCAUCCCAUCUAGGAAGUGAGGAGCGCCUCUUCCCGGCCGCCAUCACAUCUGGGAAGUGAGGAGCGUCUCUGCCCGGCCGCCCAUCGUCUGAGAUGUGGGGAGCAUCUCUGCCCUGCCGCCCCGUCCGGGAUGUGAGGAGCGUCUCUGCCCGGCCGCCCCGUCUGAGAAGUGAGGAGACCCUCUGCCUGGCAACUGCCCCGUCUGAGAAGUGAGGAGCCCCUCCGCCCGGCAGCCGCCCCGUCUGAGAAGUGAGGAGCCCCUCCGCCCAGCAGCCACCCCGUCUGGGAAGUGAGGAGCAUCUCCGCCCGGCAGCCGCCCCGUCUGAGAAGUGAGGAGCCUCUCCGCCCAGCAGCCACCUCGUCCGGGAGGGAGGUGGGGGGGUCAGCCCCCCGCCCGGCCAGCCGCCCCGUCCGGGAGGGAGGUGGGGGGAUCAGUCCCCCACCCGGCCAGCCGCCCUGUCCGGGAGAUGAGGGGCGCCUCUGCCCGGCCGCCCCUACUGGGAAGUGAGGAGCCCUUCUGCCCGGCCAGCCGCUCCGUCCGGGAGGGAGGUGGGGGGGUCAGCCCCCCGCCCGGCCAGCCGCCCUGUCCGGAAGGGAGGUGGGGGGGUCAGCCCCCCGCGCGGCCAGCCGACCCGUCCGGGAGGGAGGUGGGGGGGUCAGCCCCCUGCCCGGCCAGCCGCCCCGUCCGGGAGGUGCGGGGCGCCUCUGCCCGGCCGCCCCUACUGGGAAGUGAGGAGCCCCUCUGCCCGGCCAGCCGCCCCAUCUGGGAGGGAGGUGGGGGGGUCAGCCCCCCGCCCUGCCAGCCGCCCUGUCCGGGAGGGAGGGGCGCCUCUGCCCGGCCGCCCCUACUGGGAAAUGAGGAGCCCCUCUGCCCGGCCACCACCCCAUCUGGGAGGUGUACCCAACAGCUCGUUGAGAACGGGCCAUGAUGACAAUGGCGGUUUUGUGGAAUAGAAAGGGGGGAAAGAUGGGGAAAAGAUUGAGAAAUCGGAUGGUUGCCGUGUCUGUGUAGAAAGAGGUAGACGUGGGAGACUUUUCAUUUUGUUCUGUACUAAGAAAAAUUCUUCUGCCUUGGGAUCCUGUUGAUCUGUGACCUUACCCCCAACCCUGUGCUCUCUGAAACAUGUGCUGUAUCCACUCAGGGUUGAAUGGAUUAAGGGCGGUGCAAGAUGUGCUUUGUUAAACAGAUGCUUGAAGGCAGCAUGCUCCUUAAGAGUCAUCACCACUCCCUAAUCUCAAGUACCCAGGGACACAAACACUGCGGAAGGCCGCAGGGUCCUCUGCCUAGGAAAACCAGAGACCUUUGUUCACUUGUUUAUCUGCUGACCUUCCCUCCCCUAUUGUCCUGUGACCCUGCCAAAUCCCCCUCUACGAGAAACACCCAAGAAUGAUCAAUAAAAAAAAAAGAAAAAAAAAAAAUCUGUUCCUCUGUGAGAUGGGCCUGAUCUCUCCCACGGGUGGAGCAGAGGAGUAGAGGGUCCAGGGCCUGAGUCUCCCAUAGGCUAAGUAUUUGCCCUGAGUCAUAAAGCCAGUGGGAGGCAGUGCUACAGUUUGAUUCCAGGAAGUCUCAGACCAAAGUUCUCUCUUAACCACUUACCUUUCCUGGGCUUAAUAGUUAGUUCAUUUAUGUUUUUCCUGGCACUACUUCAUUGGACCUCAUUUUAGUUUCUUCUUUUUUUUUUUUUUUUUUGAGACGGAGUUGCUCUGACACCCAGGCUGGAGUGCAGUGCCACGAUCUCACAGUAACCUCCGCCUCCCGGGUUCAAGCAAUUCUGUCUCAGCCUCACGAAUAGCUGGGACGACAAGCGCGUGCCACCACACCCGGCUAAUUUUUGUAUUUUUAGUAGAGUUGGGGUUUCACCAUUUUGGCCAGGAUGGUCUCCAUCUCCUGACCUCGUGAUCCGCCCCGCUCAGCCUCCCAAAAUGCUGGGAUUACAGGCAUGAGCUACCGCACCCGGCCCAUUUGUUAACAUUGUAAAAUGAAUAUUAGUACAUUAUUAUUAAUGUACAUUAUAUGGGUUUUCACAAAUGCAUAAAUUCAUGUAUCCACCAUUACAAUAUAGUACAAAAUACUUUUACUGCCCCCAAAAAUUACUUGUGCUACUAUUCAUUCCUCCCUCCCUCCCUCCCUCCCUCCCACUGAGUCCCUGGCAGUCACUGCUUUACUGUCUCUAUAGCUUUACCUUUUCCAGAAUGUCAUAAACUUGUAAUCAUACAGUAUGUAGCUUUUUCAGUCUGGCUUCUGUCACUUACCAAUGUGCAUUUCAGACUCCUCCAUGCCUUUCAUAACUUGGUAGCACAGUUAAUUUUAUUGCUGAAUGAUAUUCCAUUGUGUGGAUGUAACACAGAUUAGCCAUUUAUCUAUUGAAGGACAUCUGGGUUGAUUCAAGUUUUGAGCAAUUAUGAAUAAAGCUGCUAUAAUAAUUUGUGUGGUUUUCGCAUGGACAUAAGUUCUCAACUCAUUUGUGCAAAUACCCAGGAGUGUGAUUGCUGUAUCAUAUGGUAAGACUAUAUUUAACUUUCUGUAAGAAACUGCCAAACUGUCUUCCAAAGUGGCUAUACCAUUUUGCCUUUCUAUCAGCAGUAAACGAGAGUUCCCAUUGCCUCACAACCUUGCUAGCAUAUGGUGCUAUCAGUGUUUUGCAUUGUAGCCAUUCUAAUAGAUGUAUAGUAGUAUCUCAUUAUUGUUUCAAUUUGCAGUUCCCUAAUGGCAUAUGAUGUGGAGCAUAUUUUCAUGUGCCUAUUUGCCAGCUAUGUAUCUAUUUUUCUUAGGUGAGGGGUCUAUUCAGACCUACGGCCUUUUUUUUUUUUUUUUUUUUUUUUUGAGACGCAGUUUCGCUCUUGUUGCCCAGGCUGGAGUGCAAUGGUGCAAUCUCGGCUCGCCGCAACCUCCGCCUCCCGAGUUCAAGCGAUUCUCCUGCCUGUCAGCCUCCCGAGGAGCUGGGAUAACAGGCAUGUGCCACCACGCCCAGCUAAUUUUGUAUUUUUAGUACAGAUGGGGUUUCUCCAUGUUGGUCAGGCUGGUCUCGAACUCCUGACCUCAGGUGAUCCGCCCACCUCAGCCUCCCAAAGUGGUGGGAUUACAGGCGUGAGCCACCGCGCCCAGCCUUGAAUUGUACACUCAAAAUGGGCAAAUUAUAUGGUAUGUAAAUUGUUUUUUAAAAAAAUCUGUUAUGUUUUGAAAGAACAAGUAGAUGUCUGGGAGAUUCUUUGGAGAAGUACUUAAUGUGAAAUUUUCCACAACGAUAAAAAUGAAAGCACCCAUCCCCCUGGUGGGGGGACACAGAUCACAGGUAGCUUGUGGCCCCUCUUGGGCACUUCUUCUCCCACCACCCUCUGCUCCUUCUGCAGAGGCUUACAGAGCAGAGGAAACCCCAACCUAGGGCGAGACUCCCAGCUUUGCCACGCCAAGCCGGGCCCCAGGGGAGCCAGUGCGAACUCUAGCCUACUCCCUGGGAUGAGAGGACCUCAGCACUAACCAGGUCUGCAAGUGGGUGUGGGGUUAGAGUGGAUCAACUAUGUGAUCCUAUCAACCUACGUUCGAAUUUGACUGCAUUUAAAAAAACACUUUACCCCCCCAAACGGAGUCUCUCGCUCUGUCGCCCGGGCUGGAGUGCAGUGGCGCGAUUUCGGCUCACUGAAGCCUCCGCCUCCCGGCUUCAAGCGAUUCUCCUGCCUCAGCCUCCCGAGUGGUUGGGACUACAGGCGCCCGC
rnacentral:lncRNA from 1 species